AUUGAACGCUGGCGGCAGGCCUAACACAUGCAAGUCGAGCGGAUGAAGGGAGCUUGCUCCUGGAUUCAGCGGCGGACGGGUGAGUAAUGCCUAGGAAUCUGCCUGGCAGUGGGGGAUAACGUCCGGAAACGGGCGCUAAUACCGCAUACGUCCUGAGGGAGAAAGUGGGGGAUCUUCGGACCUCACGCUAUCAGAUGAGCCUAGGUCGGAUUAGCUAGCUGGUGGGGUAAAGGCCUACCAAGGCGACGAUCCGUAACUGGUCUGAGAGGAUGAUCAGUCACACUGGAACUGAGACACGGUCCAGACUCCUACGGGAGGCAGCAGUGGGGAAUAUUGGACAAUGGGCGAAAGCCUGAUCCAGCCAUGCCGCGUGUGUGACGAAGGUCUUCGGAUUGUAAAGCACUUUAAGUUGGGAGGAAGGGCAGUAAGUUAAUACCUUGCUGUUUUGACGUUACCAACAGAAUAAGCACCGGCUAACUUCGUG
rnacentral:rRNA from 1 species